CAGUCGAAGGUAGCGACUUUAGCCGAAAGCUAACUCGAGAAGCUAGCAACGUUGAACAGAAGCUAGCGACGUUAGUUUUCGGCUCGAGGCAAACGAGCUGAUGAUUUUGUCAAAACAUAGCUGCCAACCCUUGUGGAAUGAACAGUAGAAGAGUAACGAGACUGGGGGAAGCUAUGGAAUGGAACUGGAGGGCCUGAAAAGAUGCAGUUAGGAGUUGGAAGGCUUCAAUGUAAAAGUUGUCACUGACAGGCAUCGCCAGGUGGGGAAAUGGAUCAGGGAGAAUUGGACCCAAGUCAUCCAUUAUUAUGAUUGUUGGCACAUUGUUAAAGGUAUGUGCAAGAAACUGGACUCCUUGGCCAAAAAGAAGAGCAUGUCGAUCCUGAAGGAUUGGGUACAAAGUUUGAAGUGCCUCUACUUUCUCUCCUGUAUU